CAGCCGCCGCGGUAAUACGAGGGGUGCAAACGUUAUUCGGAAUAACUGGGCGUAAAGGGUGCGUAAACGGCUCAUUAAGUUCGCUGUUAAAUUCUUCAGCCUAACUGAAGAUCAGCGGUGAAAACUGGUGUGCUAGAGGUUGGAAGAGAGAAGUGGAAUUCUCGGAGUAGCGGUAAAAUGCGUAGAUCUCGAGAGGAACACCGAUGGCGAAAGCAGCUUCUUGGUCCAAUCCUGACGUUGAGGCACGAAAGCGUGGGGAGCAAACAGGAUUAGAUACCCCGGUAGUCCCGUCUCUUAUACC
rnacentral:rRNA from 1 species